rnacentral:rRNA from 1 species
GUGAAUCAUCGAAUCUUUGAACGCACCUUGCGCUCCUUGGUAUUCCGAGGAGCACGCCUGUUCGAGUGUCUUGAAAUUCUCAAGCUGGAUAGCUUUAUUGUUAUCUUGGUUUGGUUUUGGGCUCUGCCGUCUCCUCUUUUGUGAACGGCUGGCCUUAAAAGUAUUAGCUGACCCUUGUUGUGGGAUUGGUUCUACUCAGUGUGAUAAUUUUAUGAUCGCUGAGGACAUCUUUCGGGAUGGCCAGUUUUGCCUAGGAUCGCUUCUUAAUCCUGGUAUUUGGAGUCCGCUCCUUAUCCUUAAUUUUUCAACUUUGACCUCGAAUCAGGUUGGGACUUACCCGCUGAACUUAAGCAUGAUCAAUAACGCUGGACGG